AGCCGUCUCCCGUAGCAACCAAUCAAAUCGGCUCUUUUUACUUUGUAAUCUGUGGUACAAGCUGGAAUUUCAUUGGCUGCCAGGGGCAAAGGCUUUACGCGCCAUUUUUUAGACUAAGGAUACUGUGAAAUCCUGGGCAGUGGUACAUGAGCCUAAAAAAAGACAUCCAAGGACAUCUAGAGUGAAUGUCAAGACAUUCAGGCAAUAAUAAAUACCUGUGCCACAAGUAACCGAGCAGUCACCCUGGACCGGACUCCACACGUAAACAUCUGGUCUGCUGUAGGAGGUGUUCAGGAGAUGGAUAUCUUUAUUUACUGACAUACGCUGAUCACACACUGUACCAAGGUGGUUGGCUUCUCCUGCCCUAAGCAAUGAGAGUCUUCAACGAUGGCCUCCAAUCUAGACUGCACCUGCACGCAGGAAACCUUCCGCUCGGCCAGGCCCGAUCCACAAACUGCUGAGCAAGGACCCGGCUCCGACACUUCCCACCUGCAAGGAAAAAAGAUUUGAUAUUACAAAGGAAGAGAAUUCUGAAUAUAUUUAGUCACUGCACCUUGGUCUCCAUUAUUCUGCCCACCAAUCAGGUCUGUACUCAUGGCUCAGGUCCUGCAGGAACACAUGGGGAACUGAGUUCCUGCACUUUUUCCACAACCGGAUCACUGUUCCCAUUACCAGGAGUCCUGCAGGACCAGCCCUUGAGUGGAAACCUUGGGUGCAUUGCCAGAUGUUUUUGUCCCAGGACUUGACCCCUGUCUGUACUCCUUUUUUACUUUCAUAACUUUAUGGAUGUAGCAGGAAGAGACCAAAAGGGUUAAAUAACCAAAGAAGCAAGAGGGGCAAUAGACUUAGUUCCUCCAUUGUCAACACGUAAAGAUGCCCUACCAGCCAACCAUUGCUGCAGCCAUUCUAGAAGAAGGGGGUUUAA